AGCCGCUGGCUUUCUCCUCAGCUCUCUCUCCCCUUCAGCUCAUUUUAUCGUGAGCGUGAAAGGAGAAGGCCCUGGGCCGCCCAGACCCCUUCUUGUGCGCAUGGCCAAGUGCCACCACCGCCAUGGGCCUCACUGUCUCCUCCCUCUUGUCCCGCCUGUUGGGCAAGAAACAGAUGCGCAUUCUGAUGGUUGGAUUGGAUGCGGCUGGUAAAAGGACCAUUCUGUAUAAACUGAAGUUAGGAGAGACAGUCACCACCAUUCCUACCAUUGGUUUUAAUGUAGAAACAGUAGAAUAUAAGAACAUUUGUUUCACAGUAUGGGAUGUUGGUGGUCAAGAUAAAAUUAGGCCUCUCUGGAGGCAUUGCUUCCAGAAUACCCAGGGUCUUAUUUUUGUGGUAGACAGCAAUGAUCGCGAAAAAGUUCAGGAAGGAGCAGAUGGGUUGCAAAAAAUGCUUUUGGAAGACGAGCUGCAAGAUGCAGUCCUGCUGCUUUUUGCGAACAAACAGGAUUUACCAAAUGAUAUGGCCAUCAGUGAAAUGACAGAUAAAUUAGAUCUUCAGUCUCUUCGUAACAGAACAUGGUAUGUCCAAGCCACUUGUGCUACCCAAGGAACCGGUCUGCAUGAGGGACUUGACCAGUUGUCAAAUGAGCUUUCAAAACGUUAAAUGAAUCUGGAUAUCUAACCAAUGACAUAUUUGAUAGAAUUGGUCUAGGCUUGUUACAACAAAAUUAGUUUGCAUCUUGGUUAUUAAACAGUAUGG